UGGGGAAUCUUGCGCAAUGGGCGAAAGCCUGACGCAGCAACGCCGCGUGCGGGAUGAAGGCCUUCGGGCUGUAAACCGCUUUCAGCAGGAACGAAAAUGACGGUACCUGCAGAAGAAGGAGCGGCCAACUACGUGCCAGCAGCCGCGGAGACACGUAGGCUCAAAGCGUUGUCCGGAAUUAUUGGGCGUAAAGAGCUCGUAGGCGGUUUAGUAAGUCGGGUGUUAGAACUCUGGGCUCAACACGGUGAG
rnacentral:rRNA from 1 species